GAAUCUUUUAACUCGGUUCUUUCCAAUAAAUCAGUCAAAUGAGUUAGCAAAGCGGUUUGAAUCGAUUCGUGAUUCAGUCUGAUUCAUUGUGCAGCUCAUUCACGCACAGAAACGUUUGGAUCAUCGAAAUCAGAAGUGGUAGUCGUCGUGUGGCGUUUUGACGUUUGAACGUGUUUGACUGACUGACUUCUUGCGCGGCGCGCAAACACCAUAUCCAGUUAAAAGGCGUUCAAAAAUGUAUUUAUUUAUUUAUUUUUAAACCAUCUGGAGACUCCACGGUUUUCCAUUCGGCAGGCCUGUUCCUCUUGUUUGCCAGAGAAGAAAACGUUUUUUAUUAACGUUACGUGAAUGGCUCCCAACAUGAGUGAGAGAACACCUGGAAACUGCGAUUGGAUGGGUUUUAUCGAGAAAACCUGGCAACCCUGGCUGUGGGAAGCACUGGGCACGUCGCUGGACCCAGGGGGCGUGCUGUCAUGGUACGUCAAAAUUUGAUUGGCUGAUGAUUCUGUUGCUAAUGCUCGUUACAUAUCAGAUGCGACGUCUUUGAACAAAAGGGAAGCACUAUCUGUAGUGCUGGCCCUGUUUUUAUGUACUGGCCGCAGACUCUUUUUCAUGUAGGGUAUUCCAGUUCAACCUCAACGAAACUAAUCAUAGGCCAUUUUGUGGACAUUGCACAAAUGAAAAUGAUACCUAAAUAAUAAUAAAACUUUUUUUUACACAAUUUUAUUUUUUAUAAAUCAAGCAGAGAAGGCCCUGCUGACCUUGACGGCCCACCACUGUGUGUGUGUAUAUAUAUAUAUAUAUAUAUAUAUAUAUAUAAAAUUUUAUUUAUUUAUUUAUAUAUUUAUUAAUUUUUUUGAAACCAAAAGGAAACAAUGGGACCAAGAAGUGUGCUGAGACUUUAGGGUUUGUAGAGGUAGGUGAGGAUUGAUUAUCCUUGAAAUUCAUUGAUUUUAUUUUGACCAGUAGUAUGCAGUAAGUGUAAUAUGAACAGCACCUAAUUUGUAAAUUAAACAAGCUUCUGCAAUAACUCUUUAGUAUCCUUAUUGGAUGUAAACUUAGCCUAGACGGUUUACACAAAGCUUGAAUGUUGCAUUCAUUGGAUUUAACUACAUGAGCAGAUGGGAG
ensembl:lncRNA